GUGAGCGUAGCUCAGCGGUUAGAGCACUGGACUGUGGCUCCAGGGGUCGAGGGUUCGAAUCCCUCCGUUCACCCCA
rnacentral:tRNA from 1 species